UAACUUCACCUGGUCACAGCCCUCAAUGCAGCUGUCCUGUUUCUCUAGGAAUGUGACAGACCAACUGCUCUCUCAGGGCAUUUCUCCUAUCCUGGUCAGACCUGCAGCCACAAGCAAUACCACUCUGGCCCUGUCCCCACAGCUCCCGUGCUGCCCUGGCCUCCUGUCCCCGAAGCCCUCUGGCUUCUACCAUGGAAACGUGUGGCACUCCCUGGCCUGCUCCAGCCGCUCCUUCCCCACCGCGGAUAGCAUCGUGGGCUGCCUGGCUGGCCGCAUCGUCCACAUGAUGGGGGACUCCACGCUUCGGCAGUGGUGGGAGUAUCUGCGUGACACGGUGCCCUGUAAGUGAC
rnacentral:lncRNA from 1 species